UCAAUCACCCCAGCGCGGCCAUAAUGGCGGAGACGAUGGCGGAGCCCAAGAGCGAGGAGGCGGCGGCGGCCGCGGCUCUGUCGGAGCUGACGGCGCUGCUCUCCCCGUCCUCCCCCGCCGCUCCCGCCGCGGCCGAAGCCGCUCUGGCCCUUUCCGGCAGCGCCUCGGGCCGGGCGAUGCUGGCGGGACACCCCGAGGCCUUAGCGGCCUUGGCAGCCUCGGCCUCGCGUGGAUGCGAGGCCGCUUUGGGCGCUUUGGUGAACGCGUCCUCCGAGGCCGCGGCGCUGGAGCCGCUCCUGGCCGCGCUCCCUUCUCUGGUGCCGCUGCUGGCGAGCUCCGGAGGGGCCUGCGGGGUUUUGGCCAAUCUGUGCCGGGCUCCCGGAGCGGGGCCGGCCGUGCUGAGGGCGCUGGGAGCCGGAGCUCAGGCGCUGCUGCCGGCCCUGAGCGCGGAGCCGCCGCCGGAGGAACUCGGGGCGCUGCUCUGGAACCUGAGCCGGGACAGGAUGGGAAGGGAGAUGCUGAUGGAGAGAUCAGGCGGGAAUCAUCCCAGGCGCGCGGUGAGACGGAUCCUGGAGCUGCUGAGGGACCCGGAACGCGCGGAGCUGCGGCGAGGAGCGGCCGGAGCCCUGCGGAACUGCUGCUUCCAACACGAGCACCACGAGUGGCUGCUGAGCUCCGAGGUUGACGCGCUCCCGUUCCUGCUGCUCCCGCUCGCCGCAUCCCAGGAAUUGCCUCCGGAAGAGACGGAACAGCUUCCCGUGGAUUUGCAGUUCCUGCCUCCGGAGCAUCGCCGGGAAGAGGAUCCGGAGAUCCGGAAAAUGCUCCUGGAAACGCUGAUGCUGCUCUCGGCCACCAAAGCCGGGCGGUCCCACCUGAGGUCCAACGGUUCCUACCUGGUUCUCCGUGAGCUCCACCAGCAGGAGAAGAACCCCGAGGUCCUCAGCGCCUGCCAGAAGCUCAUUGAGGUGCUGAUCGCGGACGAGCCCGAGGAGGGCAUGGAGAACCUCCUGGAGGUGACAAUUCCUGAGGAGCUGGAGAGGAGGUUCAAGGAGGAGGAUGAGGAGGAGGAGAGGAGGAGGAAGGAACGGGAACGGGAAGAGGAGGAGACGUCGAGGUGACGUCGGAACGGCGCCGGAGGGGACAAUGGGGCCACCAAGAGCCACCACGGGGACCAUGGGAUGGUCCUGAAGACCAUGGGGCCACCAAAAGCCACCAUGGGGACAAUGGGAUGGCCUUGGAGACCUUGGGGCCACCAAAAAGCACCACGGGGACAAUGGUGUGGUCCUGAAGGUCCUUCAUGGUGACCAUGGGAUGGCCUUGGGGACAAUGGGGCGACCAAAAGCCACCACGGGGACAAUGGGGUGUACUUGGGGACAAUGGGGCCACCAAAAGCCACCAGGGUGACCAUGGGAUGUUUUUGGGGACCAUGGGGCCAUCAAAAGCCACCACGGGGACCAUGGGAUGUUCUUGGAGACCAUGGGGCCACUAAAAGCCACCAUGGAGACAAUGGGAUGUUCUUGGGGACAAUGGAGCCACCAAAAGCCACCAGGGUGACAAUGGGGUGGUUCUGAAGGUCUUUCAUGGUGACAAUGAGAUGUUCCUGAGGGUCCAUCGUGGUGACAAUGGGGUGGUGGCACUAAAAGCCACCACGGUGACAAUGGGGUGGUCCUAAAGGUUGUUCAUGGUGACAACGGGAUGUCCCCAAGGGUUCUUCAUGGUGACGAUGGGGUGUCCUCAAGGAGCCAUCUUGGGGACAAUGAGAUGUUCCUGAAGGUCCACCGUGGUGACAAUGAGAUGUUCUUGAGGAACCAUCAUGGCGACAAUGAGAUGUCCCCAAAAGCCACCCCGGUGUCCAUGGGAUGUCCCCAAGGGUCCUUCAUGGUGACAAUGGG